UACAACCACACUCCGCCGUAUGUUCCAAAAACGGAAUCAAAUGGUCAGCUUUAUGCCUUAUAGGCCUCCUCCAUGGGCUAUAUUUAGGUGGAUUUGAGCAUCAUCCUGGGCAUCUGGGAACAAAUCUAGAAUUGUUUGUUUUGUGGGAUAAUUUCAAAAUAUUUGAUUUGAUUUUGAUUUCCACUCCAACCAUCCUUUUUCCUUUCAUUUUGAUAUUGUGCUGUCCCAAUAAAUUCCAGUUUCCUUUUCUUUUUUUUUUACAAUCCUUUUGUAAACGAAAAAACGAAGAGAGAGAGGCCCCCCCAUACAAAAUUGAACUGGGUAAAUGCAAUGUAUAGAAUUUCAUAAUUGUGUACUGGAUGCAUACACGUACAGUUGACUUGAUUGUCGAGAAUCUUAGAGAUCACCGAGAAGUUUGAAGCUUUCUUUCUUCCAUCCAUGCUAUGCCACAAAACAAUUAGGGCACAGCAUUCUUUUGGGAAUGGAGAUAGUAAUAAGAAAUCUCUGCGGCAAAGAAAAUGUUUGAGCUAGAAUGAGUGGAAAACAGAGAUCACGCUCGCUCUACACAGAUGCUAACUUAUGUAUCCACUUCUUCUCAAGUAAUCGCAAUCUUUAAAGCUUGUGGGGGUAAGAGAUUUAGCUAUUAAACCUGAUGUUACGUACCCUUUUAAUGCAGGUCAACUUGAGAUAUAUAGAAUGUUCAAUGAAUUAUAUUUUAAUUACCAUUAUGGAGUAGCUAGAAUACAAUUGAGUAGAAAAGUCUACGUACUGGCCAUUGUACGUGUCGUUUUUUACUGAUCAGGACUAGACAAUCUGCCACUUCUAAUCUAUAAAACGCUGUGGAGACACCAUGCGGCUGUCUAUUAUUUCGGAUCAGGAAGCAACAAGCUAGAUUGUGUUUCUCCUUCGAUGGAUGUUCACUCGAAGACGUCUUGUCAUAAGUUAGAUAUGUUCAGUGGAUAAUUGUAGCCUGACUUGAGUAGAUUAGAUAGGGGCCUUUUUUCUUGCAUGAUUUGGCAACUAUUUGGAAGGAUUAUAGCAAAUGGUAGGCCGCGCAUAGUCAUGUGUGGAAAAGCACCGGUGUUUCAUCCAUUUUAGGUUCUAGGCUGAGCCACCCCCAUGAGCCUAAGAAUCAUGUAUAUGAGAGGGAUGGCUCACUGAUUCCGCACUUCGAUGGCUUUCUCUGCAGAAAUAUCUAACAAAAGAUUCAAGCUUGCCUGUUUAGAGGUCACCUAGUGAUCCUCCUCUGGGUCCAAUAAUGUUCGAUUGGAAACAUUGCCAUGAUAGCUAGCAUGGAUAUACAUGGUAGUUGGGUUGGCCCAUCGUGACGAUUCUAUGUAUCUUCUUUGGAUAAUGCAUGGAUUGAUUGAUUUGAA